rnacentral:lncRNA from 1 species
GGAAUCCAGUCACCAUGCUGUGAGGAAAUCAAAGCCAAAGGGAAGUUUCACAUGAAGAGCAAUCAAGUCGUUUAGCCCUCAGCCUGAUGACCACCCUACUGACUGCUGCCCGUGCAAAAGACACAGAAUGGCUAACACAACAUUGAAGAAGAAUACCAAGGGAAGAGGACUGAUGCUAUCCACCUUGAAGACUCACUAUAAAGCUACACUAAUCAGUGGGCUAUUGGAGAAAGGAUAGACCAAAAGAUUAAUG